rnacentral:lncRNA from 1 species
UUGAUGUUUACAAUUUUUUAAUACUUAUACGUUUAGAAUGCGUAUAAAAUGAUAAUAAUCUGUUGAAUAAUAUAAUUUAAUGAAUGAAAAUGAUUGAAUAAAUAAAUUUAAGUGUUUGGUGCUUUUGCUUUUAAAAAUAUCACAGCCGAACUCAUUAUUAUUUCUCUAACCAAUUAAAUUUACUUUUUAUAGUUUUUUUAACAAAUUU